GACGAACGCUGGCGGCGUGCUUAACACAUGCAAGUCGAACGGAAAGGCCCUGCUUUUGUGGGGUGCUCGAGUGGCGAACGGGUGUGUAACACGUGAGUAACCUGCCCUUGACUUUGGGAUAACUUCAGGAAACUGGGGCUAAUACCGGAUAGGAGCUCCUGCUGCAUGGUGGGGGUUGGAAAGUUUAGGCGGUUGGGGAUGGACUCGCGGGUUAUCAGCUUGUUGGUGGGGUAGUGGCUUACCAAGGCUUUGACGGGUAGCCGGCCUGAGAGGGUGACCGGCGACAAGGGUACUGAGAGACGGACCAGACGCCAACGGGAGGCAGCAGUGGGGAAUAUGGCACAAUGGGCGGAAGCCUGAGGCAAAAACGCCGCGUGCGGGAUGACGGCCUUCGGGUGGGAAACCGCUGUCGGCUGUGACGAAGCGUGAGUGACGGUAAUGGGUAAAGAAGCACCGGCUAACUACGUG
rnacentral:rRNA from 1 species